GCAACAGCCAACAUCUGUCCGAAAGCAAAAAAUUAAAACAUAAGACCUCUCAUUGAUCGUCCGAUUUGGAUUGUUGUCCUUCACCGUCCUCCUCCGCCUAGGUUUGCCUGGGUUUUGUUUACAGAAAUUGAAAUGGGUUUGUUGGUCAUUGUGUUUCUCUAAUGAUUGCGAGUUUCUCUUAGAUUUAGCGUUUGCGAGUAAUUGUGAUUAGAUUUAGGGUUCUGCAUCUGCUUAGAUUUAGGGUUUGUCUGACUUCAAAUUUCGUAAUCAUACUUCGAAUUUUACUUCACUAGGUUGCUGAGAAACUGACGAGGAAGUUUUUGAGCUUUUUGUGGGCUUUGUUCUUUGAGCACUGUGUAUGUACUGUCUCGAAUUUUAUUUGGAAUUGGGUUUUCAGUUUUGUUAAAUCGUUAAACUGAUGAAGAAUGAGAAGCUUUAUGCAUCACAGGGAGGACCCAUCAUUUUAUCCCAAGUUAAAUUUUCUAUCUGCUUUUGUUACCUUAUCCAAUUUUGGUCUUUGAGACUUUGGUACUUUAUAAGUUUCUAAAGGAGAUUAAAUGUUGUCUGUCAAAUAUCUCAGAUUGAAAAUGAGUAUGGAAACAUUGGUAAAGCAUAUGGGCCUGCUGCCAAAACCUUCAUUAAUUGGGCAGCAAACAUGGCUGUGUCUUUGGAUACAGGGGUGCCCUGGGUCAUGUGCCAGCAAGCAGAUGCUCCUUCUUCAGUGAUCAACACUUGCAAUGGAUUUUACUGUGAUCAAUUCACCCCAAAUUCUAACAGCACACCCAAAAUGUGGACCGAGAAUUGGAGUGGAUGGUAAGGAGCCUUUGGGGACUCCACUCAUUAGCAAGGCCACCCAGUGUGAGGGGACUCUACUCAUUAGCAAAUAUCCACUUUUUAAGAUAUACUGUCUUUCUGGAUUAUGUUGCCUGGGUCCUAAGCCUCUGAAGGAUACAAAUCUCCAUGGAAUAUGGAAGAAAGUUCAACCUUUUGCUGACUUAGGCAGCCAAAAUGGGGUCAUCUAAAAGAUGUGCACAAAGCGAUAAAGCUUCGUGAAGCUGCAAUGGUGGCCACUGACCCAACAUUGAGGUAGAAUCCUUUACUUUUGUUUGAGAUUGAUUUGUGGCUAUCAUAUAAGAAUAUGUAGCUGAACUUCUUCUGAAGUUCUAGUUUUCAAGAUCCCAGCCUAGGUGAAUGGCUCCAUAUGGCCAUAUAUAUGGUGCGGACUUGGCACUACCUAUUUAGUGUUUACCAGCUCAACAGUGCAAUAGAGCUUACAACUUAGACAAGUGAGAAGUGAUAUCUGGGGAUUCUGAACUUACAGCUUUCUCAAGAUGUAGUAAUUGCCUUUUCAGCUAGUCGUCUUUCUUUCGACAUUUAAAUUUCCUUUCUACAUCAAUUUGGCAGCAUUGAUGUCAAAGAUGGAUAUAAAGAUGAUCUUCACGUGCAAUCGCUUGGUCAUGCCUUUCAUGUUUUUGUCAAUAUGAAAGCUUGUAGGUGAUCUAUAAAUUAACUACCUUGAAUUACACAUAUUUGGUUAU